AGCGUACACGGUGGAUGCCCUGGCAGUCAGAGGCGAUGAAGGACGUGCUAAUCUGCGAUAAGCGUCGGUGAGGUGAUAUGAACCGUUAUAACCGGCGAUUUCCGAAUGGGGAAACCCAGUGUGUUUCGACACACUAUCAUUAACUGAAUCCAUAGGUUAAUGAGGCGAACCGGGGGAACUGAAACAUCUAAGUACCCCGAGGAAAAGAAAUCAACCGAGAUUCCCCCAGUAGCGGCGAGCGAACGGGGAGGAGCCCAGAGCCUGAAUCAGUGUGUGUGUUAGUGGAAGCGUCUGGAAAGGCGCGCGAUACAGGGUGACAGCCCCGUACACAAAAAUGCACAUGCUGUGAGCUCGAUGAGUAGGGCGGGACACGUGGUAUCCUGUCUGAAUAUGGGGGGACCAUCCUCCAAGGCUAAAUACUCCUGACUGACCGAUAGUGAACCAGUACCGUGAGGGAAAGGCGAAAAGAACCCCGGCGAGGGGAGUGAAAAAGAACCUGAAACCGUGUACGUACAAGCAGUGGGAGCCUCUUUUAUGGGGUGACUGCGUACCUUUUGUAUAAUGGGUCAGCGACUUAUAUUCUGUAGCAAGGUUAACCGAAUAGGGGAGCCGAAGGGAAACCGAGUCUUAACUGGGCGUUAAGUUGCAGGGUAUAGACCCGAAACCCGGUGAUCUAGCCAUGGGCAGGUUGAAGGUUGGGUAACACUAACUGGAGGACCGAACCGACUAAUGUUGAAAAAUUAGCGGAUGACUUGUGGCUGGGGGUGAAAGGCCAAUCAAACCGGGAGAUAGCUGGUUCUCCCCGAAAGCUAUUUAGGUAGCGCCUCGUGAAUUCAUCUCCGGGGGUAGAGCACUGUUUCGGCAAGGGGGUCAUCCCGACUUACCAACCCGAUGCAAACUGCGAAUACCGGAGAAUGUUAUCACGGGAGACACACGGCGGGUGCUAACGUCCGUCGUGAAGAGGGAAACAACCCAGACCGCCAGCUAAGGUCCCAAAGUCAUGGUUAAGUGGGAAACGAUGUGGGAAGGCCCAGACAGCCAGGAUGUUGGCUUAGAAGCAGCCAUCAUUUAAAGAAAGCGUAAUAGCUCACUGGUCGAGUCGGCCUGCGCGGAAGAUGUAACGGGGCUAAACCAUGCACCGAAGCUGCGGCAGCGACGCUUAUGCGUUGUUGGGUAGGGGAGCGUUCUGUAAGCCUGUGAAGGUGUGCUGUGAGGCAUGCUGGAGGUAUCAGAAGUGCGAAUGCUGACAUAAGUAACGAUAAAGCGGGUGAAAAGCCCGCUCGCCGGAAGACCAAGGGUUCCUGUCCAACGUUAAUCGGGGCAGGGUGAGUCGACCCCUAAGGCGAGGCCGAAAGGCGUAGUCGAUGGGAAACAGGUUAAUAUUCCUGUACUUGGUGUUACUGCGAAGGGGGGACGGAGAAGGCUAUGUUGGCCGGGCGACGGUUGUCCCGGUUUAAGCGUGUAGGCUGGUUUUCCAGGCAAAUCCGGAAAAUCAAGGCUGAGGCGUGAUGACGAGGCACUACGGUGCUGAAGCAACAAAUGCCCUGCUUCCAGGAAAAGCCUCUAAGCAUCAGGUAACAUCAAAUCGUACCCCAAACCGACACAGGUGGUCAGGUAGAGAAUACCAAGGCGCUUGAGAGAACUCGGGUGAAGGAACUAGGCAAAAUGGUGCCGUAACUUCGGGAGAAGGCACGCUGAUAUGUAGGUGAAGCGACUUGCUCGUGGAGCUGAAAUCAGUCGAAGAUACCAGCUGGCUGCAACUGUUUAUUAAAAACACAGCACUGUGCAAACACGAAAGUGGACGUAUACGGUGUGACGCCUGCCCGGUGCCGGAAGGUUAAUUGAUGGGGUUAGCGGUAACGCGAAGCUCUUGAUCGAAGCCCCGGUAAACGGCGGCCGUAACUAUAACGGUCCUAAGGUAGCGAAAUUCCUUGUCGGGUAAGUUCCGACCUGCACGAAUGGCGUAAUGAUGGCCAGGCUGUCUCCACCCGAGACUCAGUGAAAUUGAACUCGCUGUGAAGAUGCAGUGUACCCGCGGCAAGACGGAAAGACCCCGUGAACCUUUACUAUAGCUUGACACUGAACAUUGAGCCUUGAUGUGUAGGAUAGGUGGGAGGCUUUGAAGUGUGGACGCCAGUCUGCAUGGAGCCGGCCUUGAAAUACCACCCUUUAAUGUUUGAUGUUCUAACGUUGGCCCCUGAUCGGGGUUGCGGACAGUGUCUGGUGGGUAGUUUGACUGGGGCGGUCUCCUCCUAAAGAGUAACGGAGGAGCACGAAGGUUGGCUAAUCCUGGUCGGACAUCAGGAGGUUAGUGCAAUGGCAUAAGCCAGCUUGACUGCGAGCGUGACGGCGCGAGCAGGUGCGAAAGCAGGUCAUAGUGAUCCGGUGGUUCUGAAUGGAAGGGCCAUCGCUCAACGGAUAAAAGGUACUCCGGGGAUAACAGGCUGAUACCGCCCAAGAGUUCAUAUCGACGGCGGUGUUUGGCACCUCGAUGUCGGCUCAUCACAUCCUGGGGCUGAAGUAGGUCCCAAGGGUAUGGCUGUUCGCCAUUUAAAGUGGUACGCGAGCUGGGUUUAGAACGUCGUGAGACAGUUCGGUCCCUAUCUGCCGUGGGCGCUGGAGAACUGAGGGGGGCUGCUCCUAGUACGAGAGGACCGGAGUGGACGCAUCACUGGUGUUCGGGUUGUCAUGCCAAUGGCACUGCCCGGUAGCUAAAUGCGGAAGAGAUAAGUGCUGAAAGCAUCUAAGCACGAAACUUGCCCCGAGAUGAGUUCU
rnacentral:rRNA from 1 species